UUGUAAAGUUCCACUUGUUUUCUUGCGUGUUUGUUCACGUGUGUGCAUGUGGAGCGGGAAUGCCCAUGCGUACUUGUGCACAUGUGCGUACCAGCCAGAGGUCAACGUUGGUUUCUUGUCUCAGCUUUUUUCAGAUGGUCCUGAGGAUGAACCCGGGGUCCUUGUGCUCGCAUGCCAAACACCUUACUGUCUGAGCCCUGAACCCCUUACUUCCUUUGAGACGGGCUGUUAGAAGGCAAGAGAGACCAGGACCCAGCACACAGGACGGAGCCAUCUACACUCACAAUGCAAUUUCCCACCCCAACUAAGCCUCUCUGUUACCCCCUUAAUUGUCUCCUAGUUAAUUUGCAAACAGCCAAGAAAUCAAGAUUAAUAUCCCAUGCUCUAUCUCUGCAAUUUCCACAAGAAAUCAUGCAUGUGUUUAUUGCUAAAGAUAGUGGAGUCAGUGUGU